rnacentral:misc_RNA from 1 species
AUAUUUUAUUGAAUAUUAAUUCAGGAAAAUUUUAACAGAGUAAGCCAUAUUAAACUCUAAUCAUCAAAUCACAACUCAGAUAAUCAAUCCAAGGCUAGGGCAUACACUAUUAAGUGGGAAAACUUGGAGACAUAUACAAGACCAAAAGGAAGUAACAUGUUCCUGACAGCAAAUGAGAGAUAGAGGACACAAGCGCCGCAAUUUAAUUACAUAAACCAGCUAAAACAGACAAUAGCCCCAAAUAUUCUCAGAGAUGCUGUAACACAAAACAAGAUUUCCAAGUUUCAAGACCUAACAGCAAAAGGAACCUGAAAUUAACACCAAGGCCAUCGACUAAGAACCAAGGCAAUUAAUACCUUACAUCCAGCCCAAAACAUGAAACGUUUGUUGUGCAGAAGACCAAACCGAACAGACAGAUGCGGCUAGCUGAUGAACAUUUCAUAUUCACAAAAACGCCAUAAACAAGCAACAAAAUCCACAUCUCUUGUGACUCCUUGUUUAGCAAGGCAAUCAGCCACAUGAUGGCAUUCAAUAAUGAUAGAGAGUUAGAGAGUUUAAGCACGCAUCUAUUCCCAUUUAAUUUCACCUUUAUCACUAAAACCUAAAAAAUAGUAUGUUUGAAUAUAAAGAUGAGCACGUUUAGUUCAAUUUCUAUUGAUUUUAAAUUUAAUCUCUAAUUUCAAAACAUUGUGAUGCUUGAUGGUAUUAGUUAGAUUGAUUUUUUAAAUCAUAGGGUACAUUUUCAAAGUUAUAUAAUAUUAGUCUUCAUCUAUGUUACUAACUUAUUUGGUUGUGUUAAGAUUUUUGCUAUCUUCACUUAACAAGGAAAAAAUAUGUAAAGAAAACGUCAAUUAUGCUCAUAAUAGCAUCACUUGUGAUUUUGAAAACUUGCAUUCCUAAUAACCAAAAGACAGACCCAAUAGUAUGCUCAGAAACUUAAAUAAGAAAGAUUUUAUGUAUUUACAAAAGCCAACAAGGAGAAGCAAAAGUAUAGGAUACUAGCUACAAAGCAAUUGUUGCACAAGUCAGAAAGGAGAACCUAUAGGAGCUACGAGGCCAAGGUACCGCAUUAUCCUGAACCGGCGAACCUUUCUGGCAGAUCUUAAAGGAAACACAACUUCGUCAAAGCAAAUUUUAGGUUUUUGUUUCUUCUUGCCCUUUCUUCUUUUAAGGAAAUUGCAUUCUGUUCUACUAGAAAUUGAUGAAGUCCAUUUAUCAGAUGAUUGAUCUUGCUGAUAAGGGUGAUCGGAACCAUCAGGGAUUCCAAGUAAUUGCCUAUGUACACUUAGAUAUUCCUUUCUUUUUAAAGCCUAAAAAUGUCAACAUUCAGCAAGAGAGAUUAAUCCAGAUUGGAGUUUGUGCAAAUUGCGAAAACUGUAGUACUACAAAAAUGAAUGCGCUUUAACAUGUACUUGUUUUAAAGCAUCUUGAAAUGUGUCCAUAGUGUUACUGCUCCUUUCUUCAAAGCACUGAAAAAAGGUGAAGGCCAUGCAUGUAAACAGACAGUAGGCAGAGUAACUGAUGAAUCAAACUAAAAUACCUCAAUGAAGGGCUAUAUCGAUUUCGAGUAGUUCAACAUAAUAAACUCAUGGUGCUUCAAAAUCAAAUACUUUUAUAAAUUACAACAAUUGCCAAACUAUGCUCAAGAAUAACAUGUGCAGAGGGAUUAGGCUCCAUCCCCCAAUCUUUCCUUGCAAAAAAUAAGUUGCUAGGAGGAAGAAAUAAAAAGAACUCAAAGGCUUCAAACUAAUUUGUGGUUGGCACUGAUUAAAUAAUGAUAUGAAUUGAGACUAUCUACAGGAGCAGUGGAAUAGUCAAUGCUCACAUCCUCAAGCUGUGAAAUUUCUCUAGCUGGAUCAACCCAAGCACUGAAAAGCAAUAUUGGAUCAACCUUUAGUUCAAACAAUAGAAAGGCAGGAAAAUUUUUGAAGUUCCAAGGAAUGUCCAAGCAAACAAGAGUUUUGAAUCGUACCUUCUGUAAUUGCCAUAAAACUGUACUAGAACAUGGCCAUCAAUACCUUUGCUUCUUGAAUCAGCUUCAGAGGAUGUUUCUCCAAUUAUUUCAGCAGGCCACCAAAUUUGGCAGUCCAUUUUUGCCCACACAACAUUUCCUGGAGUUACACAAAAGCUAGUGCUUUCUGUAACUUGUGAUUUCUCGGGGGUAGAUUCCAUUGUCAUGAAACUUGUCUGAUAACUAUCACUGCAGUGAUCAACAAUUGUAUGUUGGGCAACUGAUUUGAUUUUUAUAACUGGAUUUUCAUAUAAAUCAGAUAACAGUUUUGAUUUUUUAUCUGCAGAAUUUCUGCACCGAACUAUAGGGAGCUCAGGCAAUUCUUCUUCCUGAACUGUAGUUUUAUCCGAACUACUGAUCGUGAUACUGAACAAACCAUGUCUAAGGGGACCUGAAUUGGAGAUAAAAGAAGAAGGGGAGGAGAAGAAGGAAGAGAAAUCAGAACGGCGUUUAGGUGCGGGGCUCCUAGGCUGCUUUGUGUAAUUUGGUAUGUUAUCAAUUAGGUGUAAUUUCUUCUUCCUUGUCUUUUGCCUAUCUGUUGUUCUCUUCUUCGCCAUUGCAGUGAAUUGGGAGUUGGAAGAGAAUGCCUGUGCUUGAAUUAUGAGAAAAGCACAUUGAAAUCAUGAAAAUUUCGUGGGCCUGCUCUUCUUGGCUUCUCUCAGAGUACUCUGCUAUAGCCGAGUCCAUUGGGUGCUCUGUAUUUUUAACGAAAUUAACUGUCAUUCUUGCAAUGCUAUUGGCUGAUAUACUAAAAUAAAUCUUAUUGCCCAUUU